rnacentral:rRNA from 1 species
AGUGGCGGACGGGUGAGUAACGCGUGAGAAUCUGCCUUGGGGUCGGGGACAACCACUGGAAACGGUGGCUAAUACCGGAUAAGCCGAUUGGUGAAAGAUUUAUUGCCCGAAGAGGAGCUCGCGUCUGAUUAGCUAGUUGGUGAGGUAAGAGCUCACCAAGGCAGCGAUCAGUAGCUGGUCUGAGAGGACGAUCAGCCACACUGGGACUGAGACACGGCCCAGACUCCUACGGGAGGCAGCAGUGGGGAAUUUUCCGCAAUGGGCGAAAGCCUGACGGAGCAAGACCGCGUGAGGGAGGAAGGCUCUUGGGUUGUAACCUCUUUUCUCAGGGAAGAAGCUCUGACGGUACCUGAGGAAUCAGCCUCGGCUAACUCCGUGCCAGCAGCCGCGGUAAUACGGAGGAGGCAAGCGUUAUCCGGAAUUAUUGGGCGUAAAGCGUCCGCAGGUGGCGAUUCAAGUCUGCUGUCAAAGCACGGGGCUUAACUCCGUAAAGGCAGUGGAAACUGAAUAGCUAGAGUGCCGUAGGGGUAGAGGGAAUUCCCGGUGUAGCGGUGAAAUGCGUAGAGAUCGGGAAGAACAUCGGUGGCGAAAGCGCUCUACUGGACGGCAACUGACACUCAGGGACGAAAGCUAGGGGAGCGAAUGGGAUUAGAUACCCC